AUGGCGCAUGGCGCUAUUGGCCAUGCCGGCGAAGGGAGAUCGAGGCGGCUGUUCUCGUGCCUCUUCUGCGACAAGAAGUUCCUCAAGUCUCAGGCGUUGGGGGGCCACCAGAAUGUGCACAAGAAGGAGCGGGCCGGCAGCUGGAACCCCCACCUCUACCUCCAAUCCGACCACGGCGACCGGCCGGCCACCGCGGCAGCACAGGCGCCUGCGAGAUGGCCAAACACGCGCCUUGACGACGGCGAGAAGCAGUUGCAGCAGCAGCAGCAGCUUGAUCUCAAGUUCUCAACCUCAAGCUUUAAUUAG
rnacentral:rRNA from 1 species